CGGGGCACUGAGGCUAAGACCCUUAGGGAUGCAGCCCAGUCACCCUGGCUCCUCCUCCCUGCCAAUUUUGGAGGCCAGGGAAGGGAAGCCAGCUGGGAUCGAGUUAUUUUAGAGCAGGGAUAAACAGGAAGGCCUGUUUUUGGCAGCACACUGAGUUCCUGCAAGGAGGCUGCCGUGGCUGGAGGUGGACCUGCAUCCUGCGGCCACUCCACAGCCCAUUUAGUGCAUGGCCCCAACUAAUGGUCACUUCAAAAUGCAUUACACAGCUCCUGCCAGCUCCUUGGCAUUGGGCAGGAUCGAUCCAGGGUCUCCAUGGAAGGAUGGUCAUUCUUGUCAAGCACACCUGAAGCAGGUCGGAAAAGUGAGCUUGCCUGACUGCAGGGGCCCUGUUCAUCCUAAGGACUCCAAACCAUCUGCCGGGACCCACAGCCCUGCCACUGCCCCCUGAUGUCUGAUGGGUAAGGGGACAGCAAUAGAGGAAAGGACAGAAUGAUCUGCACCUGCCUGAAGCAGGAGGAUGCCAAGAUGGAGCCCAACCAGGGCAACUAAACGACUUAGGGAGACCCUGUUUAAAAAUAGAAAAUAAAAAGGGCUGGGAGCAUAGCUCAGUGUAGAGGCCCUGCGUUUAAUCCCCUG
rnacentral:lncRNA from 1 species